GACGAACGCUGGCGGCGUGCUUAACACAUGCAAGUCGAACGGAAAGGCCCUGCUUUUGUGGGGUGCUCGAGUGGCGAACGGGUGAGUAACACGUGAGUAACCUGCCCUUGACUUUGGGAUAACUUCAGGAAACUGGGGCUAAUACCGGAUAGGAGCUCCUGCUGCAUGGUGGGGGUUGGAAAGUUUCGGCGGUUGGGGAUGGACUCGCGGCUUAUCAGCUUGUUGGUGGGGUAGUGGCUUACCAAGGCUUUGACGGGUAGCCGGCCUGAGAGGGUGACCGGCGUCAUGGGGACUAAGAUAGGGCCCAGAAUGCUACGGGAGGCAGCAGGGGGGAAUAUUGCAGAAUGGGCGGAAGCCUGAGGUAGAAACGCCGCGUGCGGGAUGACGGCCUUCGGGUUGUAAACCGCUUUCGCCUGUGACGAAGCGUGAGUGACGGUAAUGGGUAAAGAAGCAACGGCUAACUACGUG
rnacentral:rRNA from 1 species